CGGGAUAACACCUGGAAACAGAUGCUAAUACCGGAUAACAACAGAUGAUGCCUAUCAACUGUUUAAAAGAUGGUUCUGCUAUCACUCUUGGAUGGACCUGCGGUGCAUUAGCUAGUUGGUAGGGUAACGGCCUACCAAGGCGAUGAUGCAUAGCCGAGUUGAGAGACUGAUCGGCCACAUUGGGACUGAGACACGGCCCAAACUCCUACGGGAGGCAGCAGAC
rnacentral:rRNA from 1 species